rnacentral:tRNA from 1 species
GCGGGGGUCGCCUAGCCUGGGCAAGGGCGGCGGGCUCAAGACCCGCUGGCUUAGUGCCUUCGUGGGUUCAAAUCCCACCCCCCGCA